UACGUAGGGUGCGAGCGUUAAUCGGAAUUACUGGGCGUAAAGCGUGCGUAGACGGUUAUGUAAGUCGGAUGUGAAAGCCCCGGGCUCAACCUGGGAAUUGCAUUCGAGACUGCAUAGCUAGGAUGCGGAAGAGGGAAGUGGAAUUUCCGGUGUAGCGGUGAAAUGCGUAGAUAUCGGAAGGAACACCAGUGGCGAAGGCGGCUACCUGGCCUAAUACUGACACUGAGUCACGAAAGCGUGGGGAGCAAACAGG
rnacentral:rRNA from 1 species